UACGUACUCCACAAGUGGUAUCCACUAAUAUUGGGCCUAAAGCGUGUGUAGCCUGUUAAACAAGUCCUUGGUGAAAUCCUUUCGCUUAACGGAAGGAAUUGCCUGGGAUACUAUUUGGCUCGAGACCGGGAGAGGUAAAGGGUAUUCCAAGAGUAGGAGUGAAAUCCAGUGAUCCUUGGAGGACCACCAGUAGCGAAGGCGCUUUACCAGAACGGUUCUGACGGUGAGACACGAAAGCCGGGGGA
rnacentral:rRNA from 1 species